UUUAUAACUAAAUGUGAUAUUGGGAGAUGAUGCCUAGUUGGAGGAGCCGCUAAGAGGGUGAUGCUUGAAGCUGUGAGAGUAAAACCAAAGAUGAAAUGGAGAACCCAGAAAGUCAGAGAACCUAGGAAUGUGGAAAUUCUGCUGAGGAAAACUACAGGCAGCAAAAGGAACCAGCCUAUGAGAGAGGCCUCUUGGGCUCCAAUCAACAAGGCCAUAGGAAUAGGCUGUCUAAACCCUUUGGAACUCACAUCUCGCCACAACUUACCCUGAGUGCAUAACAUAAGAGCUGUAGGGUUUAGUAUUUGGCCUGCUGGGUUUUGGUCUUGCUUUGGUCUCACUCCUUUCAUUCCUCUUUUCCUCCCUUUUGGAAAGCAAAUGUUUAUGCUAUUUUAUGGUGGAAGUCUUUAACUUUUUGAUUUUCAUGGGGACUUACAGCUAAGAGUUCAUCUUGUCUCAGAGGACACUUUGGACUUGGAUUUUCAGUAGUGCUAGAACUGUUAAGAUUUUGGAGUCUCUUAAAGGUGAACUAAAUACAUCCUGCAUAAGAUGGACAUGAACCUUUUGGGAACAAAGGGUAGACUAUUAUGGUUUAGAUCUAAAACAUUCUCCAAAAAUCUCAUGUGGUCAGAGGUGGCCCUGGUCAGAAGGGGUGGGUCACAGGGAGCAUAACCUGGAAGAUUGUUUUCUUAUCCUCAGCAUCUGCCUUCUCUCACCCUCUGCUUCCUGGCUGCCAUGGGUUGAGUCACUUUCCUUCACUAUUCCUUUCCUUCACCCUGGUUCUGCCUUAAAGUGCACCAACCAUGGAUGGAAUCCUCUGAAAACUGUGAGCCAAAAUAAGCCUAUCCUCUUUUUAGUUGUUGGUGUUAUGUAUUUUGUCCUAGCCUUAAGAAAGCUGGCUAAUACAAAUAUCUAUAUACUGCCUAUGAAAGUUCUAAAUAAUCAUCAUCGAGAUCAGUGAGCUAUAAGAGAACAGAUAACUAAACAGUAUCUGAACAUACUGAACAAAAUGAAAAAUUCAGCGGGACAGAAGCCAUAAAACAAAAUCUGUAGCUGAAGAACAUAAUGCUUGUACUGAAAUUUUCAGAGCUUUAAGCAGACUUUACCAAGCUAGUAAGGUUGAAGACAGAUCAUUUGAAAUUAUUCAGUCAAUGGAAUACCUGCCUGGUAUCUCAGAGAUAAAUCUGUAUAGCCCAAGCAAUUUUGAGCAAGAACAAAGAUGGAGGCAUCACAUUACCUGGUUUCAAAAUAUACUACAAAGCUAAGAUGGACAUGGUGCAAUCCCAACACUCCAGGAAGUUGAGGCAAAAGUAUCUCAAGUUCAAAACCAGCCUGAUAAACUUAACAACUUAGUGGCACACUGUCCUAAGAUUUAAAAAAAAAAAAAAAAAGGAAGGGGGCCAUAAAAAUAGACCAAUGGAAUAGAAUAUACACAGAUAUAAACUACGCAUUUGUGGUCAACUGACCUUUAACAAGGUUUCCAAGAACACAAGGGGAAAGGACAGUCUCUUCAAUAAAAAGGAGUUGUAAAACUAUAUCCAUAUGCAGAAGAAUGAAAUUGACCCUUCUAUCACACCUUGCAAAAAUCAACUCAAAAUGCAUUAAAGACUUAAAUCUAUGCCCUGAUACUAUAUAAUUACUAGAAAAAAAC
ensembl:lncRNA